rnacentral:lncRNA from 1 species
UAUUCAGUUUUAAAGUUUUUUUGUACUCUUACAGUUUAUGAUUGAUCUCAAUAAAGAGAACCAGUUGGAAAUAGACAUUCUAUUGACAACACUUUAUGUUAUUUCCAUGCUACAUACCUAUACUUGAUCCAUGUCUUGGUUAUAUUGAUAUACGUGAUCUAUGAUUGGUUCUAGUUACGAAUGAGUAAUGACAAGCACUUAGUUCCUAUGUUGGUAUGAUUGAUGGACCGGAUUGUUCAUGACAAUUUUAUUGUGAUAGCAAUUUUGCGCACCUAAGGUUAUUUUGUAACAUNNN